rnacentral:lncRNA from 1 species
GAUCAUUGAGCUAAAGAAAAAACAAUGAUCGUUAAACAAAAGUUUAUUCUGACAGCCUUGGUUGUACUUCUUUUGUUUUCAAUAGGUAUAUAGACAUUUGGUGAAAGGUUGAACCUUUAGUAUAUUAUUUCUUUACCUAUAUUGAUUAUUUAUUAUACUAAUAUUAUUUUUUUUACAGGUAUGGCUAAAGUUGAUCUUGUAUUAAAGAAAUGUUUUUUCAAAUGUGGCCAACAUUACUCUAAUUGUGACUUGUACUGCACAAAUCUUGGAUAUUUUCAAGGAAUAUGCGAUGAAUAUUGUUGUUGUUACGACUUAAAUUAAUUACUUGGAACUUAGAGCGUUUAUUCUAAUUUGACAAAAAUAUUAUGUUUUACACAUAUAUGUAAGCUUCAUUUGAAAGAAAUAAAAUAUGAAC